rnacentral:rRNA from 1 species
GAUGAACGCUGGCGGCGUGCCUAAUACAUGCAAGUCGAGCGAACAGAUGAGGAGCUUACUCCUCUGACGUUAGCGGCGGACGGGUGAGUAACACGUGGAUAACCUACCUAUAAGACUUGGAUAACUUCGGGAAACCGGAGCUAAUACCGGAUAAUAUAUUGAACCGCAUGGUUCAAUAGUGAAAGACGGUUUUGCUGUCACUUAUAGAUGGAUCCGCGCCGCAUUAGCUAGUUGGUAAGGUAACGGCUUACCAAGGCAACGAUGCGUAGCCGACCUGAGAGGGUGAUCGGCCACACUGGAACUGAGACACGGUACAGACUCCUACGGGAGGCAGCAGUAGGGAAUCUUCCGCAAUGGGCGAAAGCCUGACGGAGCAACGCCGCGUGAGUGAUGAAGGUCUUCGGAUCGUAAAACUCUGUUAUUAGGGAAGAACAAAUGUGUAAGUAACUAUGCACGUCUUGACGGUACCUAAUCAGAAAGCCACGGCUAACUACGUG